rnacentral:rRNA from 1 species
GCCCGCACAAGCGGUGGAGCAUGUGGUUUAAUUCGAUGCAACGCGAAGAACCUUACCUGGGCUUGACAUGCAGGGGACAGAUGUAGAAAUACAUCCUUCUUCGGACUCCUGUACAGGUGCUGCAUGGCUGUCGUCAGCUCGUGUCGUGAAAUGUUGGGUUAAGUCCCGCAACGAGCGCAACCCUUGUCUUUAGUUGCCAUCAGGUAAUGCUGGGGACUCUAGAGAGACUGCCGGUGACAAACCGGAGGAAGGUGGGGACGACGUCAAGUCAUCAUGGCCCUUACGCCCAGGGCUACACACGUGCUACAAUGGUCGGUACAAAGGGCAGCAAUACAGCGAUGUGGAGCGAAUCCCAAAAAGCCGGCCUCAGUUCGGAUCGUAGUCUGCAACUCGACUACGUGAAGUUGGAAUCGCUAGUAAUCGCGUAUCAGAACGACGCGGUGAAUACGUUCCCGGGCCUUGUACACACCGCCCGUCAAGUCAACCGAGUUGGCUGCACCCCAAGUCGCUGAGCUAACCUCUUCGGAGGAGGCAAGUGCCCAAGGUGUGGUUGGCGAGGGGGACUAAGUCGUAACAAGGUA